AUCCAGCUGACGAAUCCCGAAUAGGACGACAUGCUCAUUCUGGAU
rnacentral:hammerhead_ribozyme from 1 species